rfam:Populus trichocarpa scaffold_4_contig_354, whole genome shotgun sequence.
UUUAGAACUUAAGAUAUGGGCUGAAUACUAAAUAAUAUCUAGGUUGCAAGAUAGAUUCAGAUUUCUCUUUUGUUACUAGAGUUUGAACUUAAAAAUGGUAGUAUUGAAUCUUGUCUUCAUUAAUAUUAUAGGUCUACGUCUUAGCUUUCCAUC